CGACUAAUUUUCUAGGUUCUCGCUUUUUUCUACGCUAUAUAUACGCUAUGUAUAUAUUAUAUAGACGCCAACAAUAGGCAAUAAUCGUUGGAGCCCGGAUUCGUAUGCACGUGCAUGGUUGUUUUUUUUUUUUAUUUUAUUUUUUAGACGGUCCAAAAAGUAGCCGGACAGGCUACAAGUUUGUUGAAUAUUACACGGUCGACAGAAGCGAAAUAGAAAGUUUUAUUUUGCAUGUUUUUGCAUAUUUUUUUGACAUGUACUGCAUACUCGUAUUUC